AUGCUGCCCCUAAGUACACUGUGGUCACUGAUGCAGCGCCGUGCGUCCAGUGGGAGGUUGGAGCCUGGUCCUGCCCAUUAUCAAGCUGGAGCAUCAUUUCCCCUCGAGAUGGGUGAUGUGGCCACCCUGAAAGAGAGCUGCCUGAAUCAAGUGAAGUCUCUGCUCGCCUCUGUGUACAAGCAGGAGAAGCUAGACUGCGUCUUCCAGCUCUGUGGGCUACAGAAAAUUCAGACAGACGUGGUCCUGCAGUUGGAUUUGCAUUACACCCAGCUGAGCACAAAGCAGAGGACUUGUGAAAGCCUGCAAACAACCCUCGAGAAAUCUCUGCUGGGGCAGUUUUUCAGCCAGAGGAAUUACUCCCAGCCAGACUACCAGAGAACUCCUGCCUGUGCAGUCAGCAUGUGCCUCCAGGAUGCAUCGACACUGAGCACUGGCCCAAAGGGGCAAGUGUCUCUGAGGACAGGCUCUGGCUGCAGCUUGCCCAGCAGCAACCCCUCCAAAUCCAGCAGCGAGCCAGAGGAGAACGACGAGAGCGACCUGAGUGAGCUCUGCUCAGCACUGCUCCGGGCUGGCCCAGGGCAGGACCACCCCUGACCCCAGCCUUGGGAACUGCUAUUUUUAAUAGAGGCAACAGUAAUUCGAGUGCUAAAUGCAUCAGAAUCCAUCAGCUGCUUUCCAGCCUCAGCGAUCGCCCUGUCCAAAUGAGGCCAAGUCUGCCUUUUUGGAAAGUCUUCUCCCAUCUGCACCCUGUGGCGUGUGGGGCCUGGAGCCCACUGGAAGUAACCCCUGUCCCGCGGGAGCAGUAGGGAUCAGCAAGGAGUUGUCAUCGUGUCCGUGUCUGGCAGAGGACCCGGCCACCUGACAUGUCACAACAUUGCCAGGCAAAACCCAACACCACUUAAAGGCACCAGCUGAUGUUUUCUGCUUUGCCUAAAAGCAAACGUUACAGUAUUAAACGUGAUAAGAAACCCCUCAACACUACAGACCCGUACUACAGCAGCGACACGGCCUCAAAACCCAGCUACAGCUGCUGACUCCUCACACUUGUGCAGGGGACACAAAGCUUGACCCAGGGCACCAGGUGGAACUGCUUCCCUUAUAUAAGCUCUCCCCAGGGUUGCAGUGUGGUUUCCUUUCCUUGACAGUCCUGCCUGUGUCAAAGCAGGUUUUAAGUUAUGCAUUUAUGUAUUUCUAAAGAAUGUAUUUAUACUUGAGGCAAGACAAUUGCUUGCCAGGAGAAGGAAGGUCAGAUGUUCUGUCAAGUGUGUGUUUACAAUGGAGGCUGGUUUUCCAUCAGUAGUAGCCAGAGGGCAGGUAUACUUACACGUGCCCCUUCUAGCUUGGUAUGCAGGGCAUUAGAGGCUGCUAACUCCUGUGUGGUCCUGAGUUCCUCUCAGAUACAGAAUUUUCUACAUGUGAGAGACGGAAAAGACCAGGAUGGAGGAGGAAGACCCUCAGAAAAGUUAUUAUUAGUGCAAUUUUUUUUUUCUAAGUGCCUGUCUGUGCAUUCACUGCAGGCAGCCUCCAGCACCACCUGUCAUGGAGAACCAGCUGCCCAGACAGCCACAGAUGAGCAGGGCCCAAAGGACAACCCGUGUGGGCACCAUCUGCCCACUUCUCUAAUAUCUGUUUGAUAAAGGUUUCAGCAUCGCUCCAGGUGAUUGCUUAGCAAGAGCCUGGGAGGGUGAUCAAAUGGUUCUAACAGGGACCAGUGACUCCAGUGAAGUGUGGGAUCUCUAUCCUUGGAGGACAGUUCACCCUGGCCUGGAGAAGGUGCUGAGGAACUGAUCCAAGCAGUCAGGGCACUGGACCAGAGACUACCAGAAGUCCCUUCUGGCUGUUGUGGUCCUGUGAAAGAAAGAAAUUGGAGAUCAAAGACUUCUUGAGAACUCAAGGAUGACAGGGUGGGGAGUGUCCAAGCUCUUGUCUUCUUUCUUGGUCUAAAAGAGGGGUGGAAAGAGCACUUCCUAAGUUUUGGUUCCCUUUCAGCAGUGAAGAUACUUGCAUCUCUGUCUAUGAUGUCUGUUACAGCAUGGAAAAAUAGGAAAUAUUCCUUCCAGAUAAACCAUCCUACAAGUGCUGGAAUCCUGUCCAAAGAGAACAGAGGAGGCUUUUACUCUCUUCACAGCGACUAGAGCCAAGGGAGAGAGGCCCCAUCUGGCUGAAGUCUAGAAAGUGUCCUAGGAAAAGAUGUAAAGCUCAAAAAGAAAAUAAUUUGCAGGAUGCAGUUUAAAUAAGAUGGACUGAUAGAGAAGCUAAACCAGAAAAUAAUAAACUAAUUGAAGGGAGAACCA
rnacentral:lncRNA from 1 species